AAAUGUGUUGUUUUCCAGGGUCAGCCACAGUAGUACGAUGGGUGCAGAGAAAUGUGUUGUUUUCCAGGGUCAGCCACAGUAGUACGAUGGGUGCAGAGAAAUGUGUUGUUUUCCAGGGUCAGCCACAGUAGUACGAUGGGUGCAGAGAAAUGUGUUGUUUUCCAGGGUCAGCCACAGUAGUACGAUGGGUGCAGAGAAAUGUGUUGUUUUCCAGGGUCAGCCACAGUAGUACGAUGGGUGCAGAGAAAUGUGUUGUUUUCCAGGGUCAGCCACAGUAGUACGAUGGGUGCAGAGAAAUGUGUUGUUUUCCAGGGUCAGCCACAGUAGUACGAUGGGUGCAGAGAAAUGUGUUGUUUUCCAGGGUCAGCCACAGUAGUACGAUGGGUGCAGAGAAAUGUGUUGUUUUCCAGGGUCAGCCACAGUAGUACGAUGGGUGCAGAGAAAUGUGUUGUUUUCCAGGGUCAGCCACAGUAGUACGAUGGGUGCAGAGAAAUGUGUUGUUUUCCAGGGUCAGCCACAGUAGUACGAUGGGUGCAGAGAAAUGUGUUGUUUUCCAGGGUCAGCCACAGUAGUACGAUGGGUGCAGAGAAAUGUGUUGUUUUCCAGGGUCAGCCACAGUAGUACGAUGGGUGCAGAGAAAUGUGUUGUUUUCCAGGGUCAGCCACAGUAGUACGAUGGGUGCAGAGAAAUGUGUUGUUUUCCAGGGUCAGCCACAGUAGUACGAUGGGUGCAGAGAAAUGUGUUGUUUUCCAGGGUCAGCCACAGUAGUACGAUGGGUGCAGAGAAAUGUGUUGUUUUCCAG